UCGUUGGUUUGUUUCGAACUAGUAAUUGUUAUUCAAAGGCUGAAAGCUUGGCUUGAUGUCACAAAUGGCUGAGGACUUCUUGUUCUAUAUAUAUUUAUGAGAUCAUAAUUAAAGAUGAGUGCUGGUCGUGAACUUCUUGUCUCUUCAUUGACAUCCCUUGCCCCAUAAACCUGAGACCCAUAAAAAAUUCUGUUAUGCUGAGUUCCUUAUUUUCAUGACGGAUGAGGUCUACCUUCUUGAGAAGUUCCUGAUUCUCUUGAUGAAUGAGAGUUCUCUGCAAUGAAGUCCAUGAAGGGUUGCUGAGGCUGCUAUACUGAAAUUUUGAUGCAAUGACACUUAUUUCUUAACUGGUGUAAUAGCAGUUGAUGGGUUAGAGAAUGAGUUGAUAGCAAAUCUGAUCUCUUUUAUUGAUCAUGUUGUGAAGUUGGUGUACUUCUGGUGGUGCUUGUACUCUACAUAUCUAUGUUCUACUCUAAUACUUCGGAGUCCCUUAAUUUCUAUUUCUAGCAUUAUCAUGUGCAAGGAUGGAUACUAAUUGUUAAGCGGUUCCUCAUGAUGUGAACCAAAAAUAUGUUUUCUUAUAAUUAUAGAUAUUUAUAAGAAAUUAAAAAAUUACAAAAAAACUUUCCACAA